ensembl:misc_RNA
CUGCUAGCUCUGCAGACUGGAACCCUUUAGCCAAAGGACAGGCGCAAAACUAAACAUGAGCUGCAGCUGCAGUGCGGGCAAUGUAGGCAACCCUGACCUGAUAGACUGCCUCUAUGGAGAGUGGGGAGUUCAAUCUCCAUGCCCCAUUCAAUCCUCAGCCUCA